GACGAACGCUGGCGGCGUGCUUAACACAUGCAAGUCGAAUGAAGAGCGAUGGAAGCUUGCUUCUAUCAAUCUUAGUGGCGAACGGGUGAGUAACGCGUAAUCAACCUGCCCUUCAGAGGGGGACAACAGUUGGAAACGACUGCUAAUACCGCAUACGAUCUAAUCUCGGCAUCGAGGAUAGAUGAAAGGUGGCCUCUACAUGUAAGCUAUCACUGAAGGAGGGGAUUGCGUCUGAUUAGCUAGUUGGAGGGGUAACGGCCCACCAAGGCGAUGAUCAGUAGCCGGUCUGAGAGGAUGAACGGCCACAUUGGGACUGAGACACGGCCCAGACUCCUACGGGAGGCAGCAGUGGGGAAUCUUCCGCAAUGGACGAAAGUCUGACGGAGCAACGCCGCGUGAGCGAUGACGGCCUUCGGGUUGUAAAGCUCUGUUAAUCGGGACGAAAGGCCUUCUUGCGAAUAGUGAGAAGGAUUGACGGUACCGGAAUAGAAAGCCACGGCUAACUACGUG
rnacentral:rRNA from 1 species